rnacentral:rRNA from 1 species
GACGAACGCUGGCGGCGUGCUUAACACAUGCAAGUCGAACGGAAAGGCCCUGCUUUUGUGGGGUGCUCGAGUGGCGAACGGGUGAGUAACACGUGAGUAACCUGCCCUUGACUUUGGGAUAACUUCAGGAAACUGGGGCUAAUACCGGAUAGGAGCUCCUGCUGCAUGGUGGGGGUUGGAAAGUUUCGGCGGUUGGGGAUGGACUCGCGGCUUAUCCGCUUGUUGGUGGGGUAGUGGCUUACCAAGGCUUUGACGGGUAGCCGGCCUGAGAGGGCGACCGGCCACAUUGGGACUGAGAUACGGCCCAGACUCCUACGGGAGGCAGCAGUGGGGAAUAUUGCACAAUGGGCGGAAGCCUGAUGCAGCAACGCCGCGUGCGGGAUGACGGCCUUCGGGUUGUAAACCGCUUUCGCCUGUGACGAAGCGUGAGUGACGGUAAUGGGUAAAGAAGCACCGGCUAACUACGUG